rnacentral:rRNA from 1 species
CCUACGGGGGUCAGCAGUGAGGAAUAUUGGUCAAUGGGCGCGAGCCUGAACCAGCCAAGUAGCGUGAAGGAUGACUGCCCUACGGGUUGUAAACUUCUUUUAUAAAGGAAUAAAGUCAGGCACGUGUGCCUUUCUGUAUGUACUUUAUGAAUAAGGAUCGGCUAACUCCGGUCCAGCAGCCGCGGUAAUCCGGGGGAUCCGAGCGGUAUCCGGAUUUUUUGGGUUUAAAGGGAGCGUAGAGGGGUUGUUAAGUCAGUUGUGAAAGGUUGCGGCUCAACCGUAAAAUUGCAAUUAAUACUGGCAGUCUUGAGGACAGUUGAGGUAGGCGGAAUUCGUGG